rnacentral:rRNA from 1 species
AAACGAUGAUUAAUACUAGAUACUCCUUCUUAUUAUAAUGUAAGUUGGGAAAGUUUUUCGCUAAGAGAUCGGUCUAUAUCCCAUCAGCUUGUUGGUAGUGUAAGAGACUACCAAGGCAAUGACGGGUAGCGGGUUUGAGAGGAUGAUCCGCCACACUGGUACUGAGACACGGACCAG